rnacentral:rRNA from 1 species
GCCACUUUAAUAUGAUAGUCCAGCUAAGCAUUAAGUAUAUUUAAAUAUGGGUUUUUCACGGAAACCUUCCCAGUUUAAAAUUUUAAAUAUUUAUGAAAAUAUAAUUUAGAUAACUUACUAAUUUUGGUUUACUAGGUGCCAGCAACCGCGGUCAUACCUAGAAGGUAAGCUUACAAUUUUAAUAAUUAAUAACUAGCUUAAUUCUGAAAAGUGAGGAUAAGUGGUGAAAUAUUAUUAUCUCUUAAAAUCUUUUAUUUUAAUUAGCUCAUAAAUCCAUAUAAAAAACUAGGAUUAGAGACCCUACUAUUGUGGAGCGAAGAAUUAAUUACUAAGAAGUAAUACUAUAUUAAAACUUAAAUGUUAUGGCGGCUAAGUAAAACAAUUAGGGGAACUUACCAUAUAAUUGAUAGCCACCAAGUAAUAAUCUACUUACUUUUAAAGUUUGUAUACCGUUGUCUCCAUGAGUCUCCUAAAGAGGUUUAUCAAAAUUUUUAUAUAAUAAAAAGACAAAUCAAGGUGCAGCCUAUAAGUAAGAAUUGAGGUGAGUUACAAUAUAAACUUUAUUCGGAAGUAAAUUUAUGAAAUAAUUUAAUAAGAUGGACUUAAAAGUAAUAUAUAAAUGAUACUUAUUAUAUGAAUUUGUAUUGCUUAGUGUA